UGCUUUAGUGUUUGGAUGGGUGUGGUGUUAAAUAAAUCGUGUUUACCUUAUCUUUAUGUAAAAAAGGUUUUGAAGUCUGAUAUGGUUUGUCACUUUAUGCAUGUUGCCUAGCACUAUCAUAAUGCUCUUAUCUAGCAACAGAGACUGGAUAGGUGGUGCUUGUGGCUUGCU
ensembl:misc_RNA